CUACAGGGGUUUCUAAUCCUGUUCGCUCCCCACGCUUUCGUGCCUCAGCGUCAGUACCAGCCUAGUCAGCUGCCUACGCAAUCGGGGUUCUGGAUGGUAUCUAUGCAUUUCACCGCUACACCAUCCAUUCCGCCAACCUCGUCUGGACUCAAGCCCUGUAGUAUCCAUGGCAGUUCUGCCGUUGAGCGGCAGGCUUUCACCACGGACUUGCAGGGCCGCCUACGCACCCUUUAAACCCAAUAAAUCCGGACAACGCUUGCACCCUCCGUAUUACCGCGGCUGCUGGCAC
rnacentral:rRNA from 1 species